rnacentral:lncRNA from 1 species
CAAUCCCCCACUCCUAAUCAACCUCCCCCACUAUCCCCCCACACUACCACAACUACAGACACCACCACUACACUACAUAUGAUAUACACACACACGGAAACUACAAAACAAAAACACUACUACUACUAUAUAUAGGCACUACUACUAUACACAUGCAUGACUAGGAUAUCUGCACACACAAAAGCACUACACUAUACUACAUACUACCAUUACAUACUACCACCAAUCACAUAUACACACACACGAAAAAAAAAAAAGAAAAAAAACCAAUACACCACUAUACUACAAACACACACACA